UCCUGCGGGAUUUGCAGGAAGCCCAUGGCAUGCCCAGUAGAGACACGUGGGGUGAUUUCCUGCUUUCUGUGGAGGGGAAGAGUGGGAGGAAGUCUUGGCUGAGGCGGACAGGGAGAGGAGGAACCCGGCAGCCAACCCACCUUCUGCACCAGGAGGUGCUCUUGUACGUAGGCGGCCACCGCAUCCCAGACGGCAACUCGCUCUGGAGGGCAAAGGAAAAGCGGGUCACACUCUGCACCUGCCGCUUCCCAGCAGCCCUCCCGCUGCCAGGCGGGAGUGAGGUGGCAGAUGGAAAGUGUCGUCUGCGUGCCAGGAUUGGCUGCAGCAGCGCUCCUGUGGUGGCUGUGGAGCCGUGUACCUUCGGUGUCGGUGCAGGUGGGUAUGGAGGCACGCCUCGCUGCGGGGCCAUCCUCGCAGAAGCUCAUCCUGUUCCGCCUCGUGCCAGCGGGUUGCUCCUUGUUGGCGCCAGCCAUGCCGGAGCUCAUCCCUUCAGGUGCGUCUGCUCUCU
rnacentral:lncRNA from 1 species